GGCAUCAUCUUUUUUCUUUUCUUCUUGAACCGAACGUGAAAAGAAAAUGGGUAGCCAUGGAGAAAGCUACAUUCGGCCAAGCUUUGUGCUUUAAUUGAUCAAGGAAUACAAGAUUCAGACUUAGAAUGGGGGAAAAACAAAAAGCAUGACGAAUAAGUCCUUUUUACCGAUUGUGCUAACGAGUGUUUACAGGUUAGCUCAGGGUUGGAGAUUGUCGGAGGCAGCAUCACACUAUCAAGUCAGUUCCUUUGGAAUAACGAAACAUAUAUUAGAAAUAUUAAGUGAGUGGCAUAUAUAGGGAUCUAGUUUAUUGACAUGUGUUAUUAUGCUUUGGCCAAAUGUAUUGGCUUAUAUUGAGUUAUAUGUAUAUGGCCAUGAGAUGUGGCUCAUAUUCAUUAUGGCUUGUAAACCUAGCUAUUCAUGUCAUGUCUAAGGUUUAUGAUGUGAUUAUGUUUGUUUGUCAUGCAUGGUUGGUAAUAUGACAUGUGUGUUGGAUAUAUGCUCUAUGACCAAUUGAGGUGGUCAUAGCCAUGUAGUAAAUGCACGUUAUAAAAACAACGUGAUAAUGGUUGAACAUGAGUGCUUUAUGGAUAA